UACGGAGGGUGCGAGCGUUGCUCGGAAUUACUGGGCGUAAAGAGCACGUAGGCGGGUUUGUAAGUCGAUUGUGAAAGCCCCGGGCUAAACCUGGGAACGGCAGUCGAUACUGCAAGUCUUGAAUGCUCGAGAGGAUGGUGGAAUUCCUGGUGUAGAGGUGAAAUGCGCAGAUAUCAGGAAGAACACCCGUGGCGAAGGCGGCUCUCUGGGACGGUACUGACGCUGAGACGCGAAAGCGUGGGGAGCGAACAGG
rnacentral:rRNA from 1 species